GAUGAACGCUGGCGGCGUGCCUAAUACAUGCAAGUCGAGCGAACGGACGAGAAGCUUGCUUUUCUGAUGUUAGCGGCGGACGGGGGAGUAACACGUGGAUAACAUAUCUAUAAGACUGGGAUAAAUUCGGGAAACCGGAGCUCAUACAGGAUAAUAUUUUGAACCGCAUGGUUCAAAAGUGAAAGACGGUCUUGCUGUCACUUAUAGAUGGAUCCGCUCCGCAUUAGCUAGUUGGUAAGGUAACGGCUUACCAAGGCAACGAUGCAUAGCCGACCUGAGAGGGUGAUCGGCAAGACCUGAACUGGGACGAGGCCCAGACUACUACGGUAGGCAGCAGUAGGGAAGCGUCCGCAAUGGGCUGAAGCCUGACGGAGCAACGCCGCGUGAGGUAUGAAGGGCUUCGGAUCGUAAUACUCUGUUAUUAGGGAAGAACAUAUGUGUAAGUAACUGUGCAUAGCUUGACGGUACCUAAUCAGAAAGCCACGGCUAACUACGUG
rnacentral:rRNA from 1 species